AAGUCGAACGGAGUUUUAACGGAAGUUUCGGAUGGAAGUUAGAACUAGUGGCGGACGGGUGAGUAACGCGUGGGUAACCUGCCUCAGUACAGGGGGAUAACAGUUAGAAAUGACUGCUAACACCGCAUAAUAUAGCGAAACCGCAUGAUUUUUGCUAUCAAAUAGUUUAUAGGUAUGAGAUGGGCCCGCGUCUGGAUUAGCUAGUUGGUGGGGUAAAAGCCUACCAAGGCGACGAUCAGUAGCCGGCUUGAGAGAGUGACCGGCCACAUUGGGACUGAGACACGGCCCAAACUCCUACGGGAGGCAGCAGUGGGGAAUAUUGGACAAUGGGGGAAACCCUGAUCCAGCGAACCGCCGCGUGAGUGAAGAAGUAUUUCGGUAUGUAAAGCUCUAUCAGCAGGGAAGAUAAUGACAGUACCUGACUAAGAAGCCCCGGCUAACUACGUGCCAGCCGCUGC
rnacentral:rRNA from 1 species